rnacentral:pre_miRNA from 1 species
CUGGUACUGCCACGAGUCUCUUUCUAACAGAAAGAGACUCGUGGCAGUACCAGUUUUCCACCUUUCUCACUAAAACUAAAAGUGGUACUGCCACGAGUCUCUUUCCAACAGUAAGAGACUCGUGGCAGUACCAG